GGGGUAACGGCCCACCGUGCCAGUAAUCGGUACGGGUUGUGAGAGCAAGAGCCCGGAGACGGUAUCUGAGACAAGAUACCGGGCCCUACGGGGCGCAGCAGGCGCGAAACCUUUACACUGCACGCCAGUGCGAUAAGGGGACUCCAAGUGCGAGGGCAUAUAGUCCUCGCUUUUUGCGACCGUAAGGUGGUCGCGGAAUAAGUGCUGGGCAAGACCGGUGCCAGCCGCCGCGGUAAUACCGGCAGCACGAGUGAUGACCGCUGUUAUUGGGCCUAAAGCUUCCGUAGCUGGCCGCGCAAGUCUAUCGGGAAAUCUCUUCGCUUAACGAAGAGGCGUCCGGUGGAAACUGUGUGGCUUGGGACCGGAAGACCAGAGGGGUACGUCUGGGGUAGGAGUGAAAUCCCGUAAUCCUGGACGGACCACCGGUGGCGAAAGCGCCUCUGGAAGACGGAUCCGACGGUGAGGGACGAAAGCUCGGGUCACGAACCGGAUUAGAUACCCGGGUAGUCCGAGCUGUAAACGAUGUCUGCUAGGUGUGACACAGGCUACGAGCCUGUGUUGUGCCGUAGGGAAGCCGUGAAGCAGACCGCCUGGGAAGUACGUCCGCAAGGAUGAAACUUAAAGGAAUUGGCGGGGGAGCACUACAACCGGAGGAGCCUGCGGUUUAAUUGGACUCAACGCCGGACAUCUCACCAGCAUCGACAAUGUGCAGUGACGGUCAGUGUGAUGAGCUUACCUGAGCCAUUGAGAGGAGGUGCAUGGCCGCCGUCAGCUCGUACCGUGAGGCGUCCUGUUAAGUCAGGCAACGAGCGAGACCCGCACUCCUAAUUGCCAGCAACACCCUUGUGGUGGUUGGGUACAUUAGGAGGACUGCCAGUGCCAAACUGGAGGAAGGAACGGGCAACGGUAGGUCAGUAUGCCCCGAAUGUGCUGGGCGACACGCGGGCUACAAUGGCCACGACAGUGGGAUGCAACGCCGAAAGGCGACGCUAAUCUCCGAAACGUGGUCGUAGUUCGGAUUGAGGGCUGAAACUCGCCCUCAUGAAGCUGGAUUCGGUAGUAAUCGCGCCUCAGAAGGGCGCGGUGAAUACGUCCCUGCUCCUUGCACACACCGCCCGUCAAAGCACCCGAGUGGGGUCCGGAUGAGGCCCGGUUUCCGGGUCGAAUCUGGGCUCCGCA
rnacentral:rRNA from 1 species